AGUGGUGAGGCCGUGACCCACAGCCGUGUCCACAUGAUGGCAGGGAACCUGUGGCCAUGGCUACACCAGCACAGCGUGUAAUCUGGAUGUAAUGUCAGGUGAACGAUCUUAUCUGGCCUGAAGUCCUAUGGCGGCAAUGAUGGACCACAUUGGGGAGGCUGAGCUUCAGGGCAAGAGCCUUUAUGGAAAGGGCAGUAACAUGCACAAGGAGGACCCAGUGAAGGAGGGAUUGCACCCAGUUCAUCUGAAUGCUGUUAUUGGUUACAUCCUCCAGCAAGUUCACGACGACAAC